CUGCUGACAGAUCACUUCCGGGUCACGGCCGUUCCCUUUACCUACGCAGUGUCAGGUUACUGGAGCCGUAAGUGACGUGGCGGGAUCUGCUGCGGACCCUGGUGACGUCACCGCAGGACUCCGCGCAUCUUUGCACACAGAUGUUGUAAACAUGUCUGAAAAAGACAGCAGUGAGAACACCGGGGAAACUGUCCAACCCCAGGUGCAGGAUGAAAACCCGGCUUCUACGAAGAAUAGCGGAGUAGAGGAAGGAAAAGUUGUUGUCUCAGAACCAGUGGCCAUAACCCGCAAACGUCCUGAGGCCAAAUCUACCAGUGCGUCAGCUGAGGAGGAGGAGGACCAGACAGCUGAAAAUUCUGAGCAGGAAUCUGCAGCCAAAUCUCCAUCAUCAUGGGGCUAUUGGGGUAACUGGGGCAAGUCCUUGCUUUCUACAGCCACGGCCACGGUGGCUACUGUUGGUCACGGCAUCACUUCUGCUAUUGAGAAGGCAGAGAGUUCAUUGGGUGUCCCAAGUCCUGUAGAGCUGUCAUUUAGAGACCGCACGGAGGCCACAGAAGAUUCCAUAACUGCAGAAAGCAGUGAAUCCAAAGAGGCAGAGGAGGGCUCAUCCCCCAUUACAGGAGCGCUGGGAUUCCUCUCCAGUAUCUCUACGGCAGUGCAGAGUACAGGGAAGACUGUUCUCACCGGAGGGUUGGAUGCCUUGGAGUUUAUUGGCAAAAAGACUAUGGACGUUAUUGCAGAAGGAGACCCAGGCUUCAAAAAGACCAAAGGACUAAUGAACAGGAAUGCUACAUUGUCACAUGUAUUACGAGAAGCAAAGGAAAGAGAAGAACAGCGAGUUAGCAGUGAAGUCACCCCAGAGACAGAGCGACGUGCUCACUAUGGACUGUUAUUCGAUGAGUAUCAGGGUCUGGCUCACCUCGAAGCAUUAGAGAUGCUGUCCAAAGAGAGUGAAGGAAAGGUGAAGUCCAUUAUUGGGGCCCUAUCAGGAGAAGAACGGGCAGAACUUAAGCAGGAACUGGAGUCCCUGAAGGAUGUAUUCUCAAUGGAAGAGUUUGAUGAUGAUGAAGAGGUGGAGAAAGCUGAUGAGGAUUUUGUUGAGGAAAUAUCGUCCCUGUUUAAUGAGUUGCAGAUCUCUGUGAGGCCCGAGAAGCUGACAAAUGCACGAAAAGCGGCUUAUAAGUGGAUGAUUAAAGUGGAAGAGGAGGAGAAAGCAACAGGAGAGGAGGAUAAGGCUGAUCCAUCGAGGAAAUCCACUGUAGAGGAUAUCCAUGCGCUUGCCAUCCGGAGCCUUGCUGAGCUCACAGCCUGCGCCAUAGAAGUCUUCCACAAGACUGCCGCUUUGAUUCUGCAUGGUGACAAGCAAGUACCAGCAUUGUCAAGGGGCACUGCCCUCUCAAAAAUGACUGUAGCACUGUGCAAGGAUCUAUCACAGCUUUCAAAGAGGAUGACCACGCUCCUGACUACCGCAGGGGCAUCUGAAAAAUCGGACAUCCUGAACCCUCUAAUCACAGGCGUGUUUCUAGAGGCAUCAAACAGCGCUUCCUACAUUCAAGAUGCAUUCCAGCUUCUGCUUCCUGUACUUGAAAUCUGCCACAUCCAGACCCGGACUUAGUUUUUGAGUGGUCUAGGGCUGGAUUUUCAUCUCUAUUUUGUUGUUAAGUCAUAACCCAGCACUUACCCAAAAAUACCCUAGUCUCUGAGAUAUGUGCGUGUGUGUGUGACCUGCAGCAGGCUUAAAAAAAUACAACUAAGAGCGAUAACCAAAUUUUCGAGAGAAAAAAAGCAGAUCUAUAUUUUUAUUUUUGACUUGUGUGACUGAAGGGAAAAAUGGUUAAUCCAGAAAUAAUUUAACCAAAACAGAAUGACUGUGGGUUUAUUCUCUAGUAAUUUAUUUGAAUAUGUUAUGUUUGUUUGAUGUAUACAGGAUCUGUGGCUAUAAAUAAAAGAGCGUGGUAGCUUUCUUAUACUGUGAAGUAGGUGGAAAAAUUGUAAUACUGUAAAAUUCCUUUUAUUCGGCAACUAUUGCUACUAGAAUUUCCCUAAUCUGACAUUCAAUAAAGCUAGGAAGUAUAUUUGGCUAAAAAAUGUGACAAUAUUGAUUUAUAUUUUUUUAUAAAUUACAUCCAAAUCGUCUUCCAAAGGAACAUAUGAGGUUUAUGCAACAUGCAUUAGAUCUACCCGCAGUCCUGUGUAAAACCACUGAGAGUAGAAACUUCAAUUGUAUCAAAUUAUACCUCCAGCUCUGCUACAUCUAUAACAACACUUUGGUCCAUUCUUUCAUCACGGAUUGUGAUUUGCUUCUUCCACACAGUCACACCCAGCAGAUUGAUGCACGAUGGACUUCCUCCCUGAGUCUGCUGUGCUGGGUUUCUUCAUCCUAUAAUGCAGGCAGCUCUGUAACCACCUCAUCUUUGUUUUCAUGCUGCACUUGUAACAGAGAGGAGGAUAAUUGACUAGGUUCACAACACGGAAUUUCCAGCUGGGCAAAUCCGGCUGGAGAUUUUGAUUGCGCCCAGAGCAAACUGUAUUAGUUGGCACUAGGACCAUAGAUAUUGCGGUGCCCAUAGAUUGCAAUGUCCGUGGAGCAGAUUCUUCCUAUAGAGAUUGUUUGAAUGCUGGUGGAAUAUCCGCUGCUGAAAUUCCGUACUGUGCAUUGUGCAGCUGAAUCCCAUUGCCAGCAAUAGGAUUCUGCUGCACCAGCAUUUCCAAAUGGAAUUCAACUUGGAGAUUCUAUAGUGUGAACCUAGCCUAAGUGUUGAGUCUUUUUUAGGGGACAAUGUCUUAACAUUGAGCUUUCCCACUCAACCUUUUAUAGGGGAACUUCAGGAGAGCGAUAUUGGUCUUCCUCCAAUAAAUCUCAAAGCUGCACUGAGCCUCUGUGCUUUCUCCCAGCGAGUGCUCUCUGCAGUCUGAUAGACAGGACAGGAGUGAACACAGAGCAUUGCUAGUCCUGCCCUCACUUCCUGGACUUUGUCCCAGCCUGUGCUUCAGCCUGGACAUAGAUGAUGCUGCAGCCGGACAGGUUUAUGUUCUGGACGGUAUAAGUGGCCAUUUUUAUAAACCGUGAUUUCUAUAAAAAUGAGAUACAUUUUUUACAAAAUAUAUUAGGCAGGUAAAUGUUUUGCCAAGAUGUACAACAUGUAAAUGGUUUUUGAAUCUGACAGUGCCUGUUUAACCCCUUAAGGACCAAGCAUUUUUCUGUUUUUACACUUUCGUUUUUUCCUCCUUACCUUUUAAAAAUUAUAACCCUUUCAAUUUUGCACCUAAAAAUCCAUAUGAUGGCUUAUUUUUUGCGCCACCAAUUCUACUUUGGAAUGACAUCAGUCAUUUUACACAAACAUUUAUGGCGAAACGGAAAAAAAAAUCAUUGUGCGACAAAAUUGAAGAAAAAACACCAUUUUGUAAAUUUUGGGGGCUUCCGUUUCUACACAGUACAUUUUUCGGUAAAAAUGACACUUUAUCUUUAUUCUGUAGGUCCAUAUCAGUGGUCUUCAAACUG